UUGCGGCCGCAUCACAUUGAAACACCGCUUACCGUAGUAUCACUGAAGUUAAGCAACGUCAAGCCUGGUCAGUACCUAGAUGGGUGACCAAUUGGGAAUACCAGGUGCUGUAAG